GUGACUUUGGAAUGCCUGACCCUGAACAGGACUUCUAGAUCAUGACCUCACAAGGCUCAGAGAACACUGCAAAUGAAGAGCAUAAAUGAUAUAGGAGACAGGUUAAAGAGGCGUGCUGUGAAACAAUCUUCUGGACAAAACAAGGCUGAUACGUUCGUGAACUUACCACAGUUGUGGUUACCUACAUGAGACUUAUACAGGAUUGGACCUGUCACCAUUUCAAGAUGUAUGGAAAUUGACUGACUCCUCUCAGUUCAUGGGGCUUAGCCAUCCCAGGACCUAUACUCUGUCUCCUCUUCCCUCAAGUCUGCUUUGAAAGGAACUUAGGGAAACUCAGAAAAACCUGCUGUGUUUGUCUCACGCUUGAGUUCUGAUUUUCCCAUUAAAAUGGUUGUUACCAACAA